rnacentral:rRNA from 1 species
UGGGCGUAAGAGCUCGUAGGCGGCUUGUCACGUCGGNNGUGAAAGCCCGGGGCUUAACCCCGGGUCUGCAGUCGAUACGGGCAGGCUAGAGUUCGGGGGGGGAGAUCGGAAUUCCUGGUGUAGCGGUGAAAUGCGCAGAUAUCAGGAGGAACACCGGUGGCGNAGGNGGNNCUCUGGGCCGAUACUGACGCUGAGGAGCGAAAGCGUGGGGAGCGAACAGGAUUAGAUACCCUGGUAGUCCACGCCGUAAACGGUGGGCACUAGGUGUGGGCAACAUUCCACGUUGUCCGUGCCGCAGCUAACGCAUUAAGUGCCCCGCCUGGGGAGUACGGCCGCAAGGCUAAAACUCAAAGGAAUUGACGGGGGCCCGCACAAGCGGCGGAGCAUGUGGCUUAAUUCGACGCAACGCGAAGAACCUUACCNAGGCUUGACAUACACCG